GUCUGGGUGGCGCAAUUGGUUAGCGCGUCUGACUGUUAAUCAGGAGGUUGAGAGUUCGAGCCUCUCCCUGGACG